UCGGGAAUUUUGGGCAAUGGGGGAAACCCUGACCCAGCAACGCCGCGUGAAGGAUGAAGUAUUUCGGUAUGUAAACUUCGAAAGAAUAGGAAGAAUAAAUGACGGUACUAUUUAUAAGGUCCGGCUAACUACGUGCCAGCAGCCGCGGUAAUACGUAGGGACCAAGCGUUGUUCGGAUUUACUGGGCGUAAAGGGCGCGUAGGCGGCAUGACAAGUCACUUGUGAAAUCUCUGGGCUUAACCCAGAACGGCCAAGUGAUACUGUCGCGCUAGAGUGCAGAAGGGGCAAUCGGAAUUCUUGGUGUAGCGGUGAAAUGCGUAGAUAUCAAGAGGAACACCUGAGGUGAAGACGGGUUGCUGGGCUGACACUGACGCUGAGGCGCGAAAGCCAGGGGAGCAAACGGGAUU
rnacentral:rRNA from 1 species